rnacentral:snRNA from 1 species
AGCCCUAUCUCAAGCUCUUGCU